rnacentral:rRNA from 1 species
CCUACGGGUGGCAGCAGUGGGGAAUAUUGGACAAUGGGCGAAAGCCUGAUCCAGCCAUGCCGCGUGUGUGAAGAAGGCCUUCGGGUUGUAAAGCACUUUCAGUGGGGAAGAAAGCCUUGGGGCUAAUACCCUCGAGGAUGGACAUCACCCACAGAAGAAGCACCGGCUAACUCCGUGCCAGCAGCCGCGGUAAUACGGAGGGUGCGAGCGUUAAUCGGAAUUACUGGGCGUAAAGCGCGCGUAGGCGGUCUGAUAAGCCGGAUGUGAAAGCCCCGGGCUCAACCUGGGAACGGCAUCCGGAACUGGCAGGCUAGAGUGCAGGAGAGGAAGGUAGAAUUCCCGGUGUAGCGGUGAAAUGCGUAGAGAUCGGGAGGAAUACCGGUGGCGAAGGCGGCCUUCUGGACUGACACUGACGCUGAGGUGCGAAAGCGUGGGUAGCAAACAGGAUUAGAUACCCGAGUAGUC